UGGGGAAUUUUGGACAAUGGGCGAAAGCCUGAUCCAGCAAUGCCGCGUGUGUGAAGAAGGCCUUCGGGUUGUAAAGCACUUUUGUCCGGAAAGAAAUCCUUGGCUCUAAUACAGUCGGGGGAUGACGGUACCGGAAGAAUAAGCACCGGCUAACUACGUGCCAGCAGCCGCGGUAAUACGUAGGGUGCAAGCGUUAAUCGGAAUUACUGGGCGUAAAGCGUGCGCAGGCGGUUUGCUAAGACCGAUGUGAAAUCCCCGGGCUCAACCUGGGAACUGCAUUGGUGACUGGCAGGCUAGAGUAUGGCAGAGGGGGGUAGAAUUCCACGUGUAGCAGUGAAAUGCGUAGAGAUGUGGAGGAAUACCGAUGGCGAAGGCAGCCCCCUGGCAAGUACUGACGCUCAUGCACGAAAGCGUGGGGAGCAAACNGGAUUAAUACCCUGGUAGUCCACGCCCUAAANGAUGUCAACUAGUUGUUGGGGAUUCAUUUCCUUAGUAACGUAGCUAACGCGUGAAGUUGACCGCCUGGGGAGUACGGUCGCAAGAUUAAAACUCAAAUAAUUGACGGGGUCAUGCUGUUUCCU
rnacentral:rRNA from 1 species